rnacentral:rRNA from 1 species
UACGUAGGGUGCAAGCGUUAAUCGGAAUUACUGGGCGUAAAGCGUGCGCAGGCGGUUAUAUAAGACAGUUGUGAAAUUCCCGGGCUCAACCUGGGAACUGCAUCUGUGACUGUAUAGCUAGAGUACGGUAGAGGGGGAUGGAAUUCCGCGUGUAGCAGUGAAAUGCGUAGAUAUGCGGAGGAACACCGAUGGCGAAGGCAAUCCCCUGGACCUGUACUGACGCUCAUGCACGAAAGCGUGGGGAGCAAACAGG